CAUCUCCAUGAUCCCAGCAGGGCCUGGAGCCUGCCACGGGCCUCAAAGAGGAGAGCUGCAGAGAUCGAGCAGAUAUUCUAGGCACCGGGAAUGAGCCAACACCUGCUUGAGAAGAACAUUUAGUGUCAUAAAACAAACCACCCACCAAGGAAUAAGGAAACUGAGAAAAGCCCACACACCGACGUCAUGUUGCCAAGCUCAGCUCUAAAACAAAGCCUUACAACCCUCCCUGGUGGAUUCUCUUGGAGGAAACUCCAUUUUCUAAUCCUGCCCCUGGAAAUGCUGGACAGCUGAAGCCACGAUGACAAAGGAGAAGAUUAGAGGCAACUGAGACCUGA